CGUUUAUUUGAUAGUACCUUACUACUUGGAUAACCGUGGUAAUUCUAGAGCUAAUACAUGCUAAAAACCCCGACUUCGGGAGGGGUGUAUUUAUUAGAUAAAAAACCAAUGCCCUUCGGGGCUCCUUGGUGAAUCAUAAUAACUUAACGGAUCGCAUGGCCUUGCGCCGGCGACGGUUCAUUCAAAUUUCUGCCCUAUCAACUUUCGAUUGUAGGGUAUUGGCCUACAAUGGUAUCAACGGGUAACGGGGAAUUAGGGUUCGAUUCCGGAGAGGGAGCCUGAGAAACGGCUACCACAUCCAAGGAAGGCAGCAGGCGCGCAAAUUACCCAAUCCCGACACGGGGAGGUAGUGACAAUAAAUACUGAUACAGGGCUCUUUUGGGUCUUGUAAUUGGAAUGAGUACAAUUUAAAUCCCUUAACGAGGAACAAUUGGAGGGCAAGUCUGGUGCCAGCAGCCGCGGUAAUUCCAGCUCCAAUAGCGUAUAUUAAAGUUGUUGCAGUUAAAAAGCUCGUAGUUGAACCUUGGGCCUGGCUGGCCGGUCCGCCUCACCGCGUGCACUGGUCCGGCCGGGCCUUUCCUUCUGGAGAGCCGCAUGCCCUUCACUGGGUGUGUCGGGGAACCAGGACUUUUACUUUGAAAAAAUUAGAGUGUUCAAAGCAGGCCUUUGCUCGAAUACAUUAGCAUGGAAUAAUAGAAUAGGACGUGCGGUUCUAUUUUGUUGGUUUCUAGGACCGCCGUAAUGAUUAAUAGGGAUAGUCGGGGGCAUCAGUAUUCAAUUGUCAGAGGUGAAAUUCUUGGAUUUAUUGAAGACUAACUACUGCGAAAGCAUUUGCCAAGGAUGUUUUCAUUAAUCAGUGAACGAAAGUUAGGGGAUCGAAGACGAUCAGAUACCGU
rnacentral:rRNA from 1 species